AGAGUUUGAUCAUGGCUCAGGACGAACGCUGGCGGCGUGCUUAACACAUGCAAGUCGAGCGAUGAGAUCACUUCGGUGAAGGAUUAGCGGCGAACGGGUGAGGAACACGUGAAGAAUCUGCCUUCAACUCUGGGAUAACUCCGGGAAACCGGGGCUAAUACCGGAUAUGAGCCUUGAUCGCAUGAUCGGGGCUGGAAAGUUUUUCGGUUGAAGAUGACUUCGCGGCCUAUCAGCUUGUUGGUGAGGUAAUGGCUCACCAAGGCGACGACGGGUAGCCGGCCUGAGAGGGCGACCGGCCACACUGGGACUGAGACACGGCCCAGACUCCUACGGGAGGCAGCAGUGGGGAAUAUUGGGCAAUGGAGGAAACUCUGACCCAGCGACGCCGCGUGCGGGAUGAAGGCCUUCGGGUUGUAAACCGCUUUCAGCAGGGAAUAAGCGCAAGUGAAGGUACCUGCAGAAGAAGCACCGGCUAACUAUGUGCCAGCAGCCGCGGUAAUACAUAGGGUGCAAGCGUUGUCCGGAAUUAUUGGGCGUAAAGAGCUCGUAGGUGGUUUGUUACGUCGGUUGUGAAAUUCAGGGGCUCAACCCCUGACUUGCAGCCAUACGGGCAAGCUAGAGUUUGGUAGGGGAGA
rnacentral:rRNA from 1 species